UGGGGAAUAUUGCACAAUGGGCGAAAGCCUGAUGCAGCCAUGCCGCGUGUAUGAAGAAGGCCUUCGGGUUGUAGAGUACUUUCAGUUGUGAGGAAGGGGGUAACGUUAAUAGCGUUAUCUCUUGACGUUAGCAACAGAAGAAGCACCGGCUAACUCCGUG
rnacentral:rRNA from 1 species